rnacentral:rRNA from 1 species
GACAGAGGUGCCAAGCGUUAGGCGGAAUCACUGGGCUUAAAGCGUGUGUAGGCGGACUUCUAAGUACCUUGUGAAAUCCCACGGCUCACCCGUGGAACUGCUGGGUAUACUGGUCGUCUUGAGCCACCUAGGGGCGAGCGGAACAAAUGGUGGAGCGGUGAAAUGCGUAGAUAUGCGGAGGAACACCGAUGGCGAAGGCAAUCCCCUGGACCUGUACUGACGCUCAUGCACGAAAGCGUGGGGAGCAACAGG